rnacentral:rRNA from 1 species
UACAGAGGGGGCAAGCGUUAUUCGGAAUUAUUGGGCGUAAAGGGCGCGUAGGCGGCCAUUCAAGUGACGGGUGAAAGCCCUCGGCUUAACCGAGGAACUGCCUGUCAGACUGGAUGGCUUGAGACCGGGAGAGGUGAGUGGAAUUCCCGGUGUAGAGGUGAAAUUCGUAGAUAUCGGGAGGAACACCGGUGGCGAAGGCGGCGACCUGGGUCGAUACUGACGCUGAUGCGCGAAAGCGUGGGGAGCAAACAGG